rnacentral:rRNA from 1 species
UACAUGGGGUGCAAACGUUGCUCGGAAUUAUUGGGCGUAAAGCGCGCGUAGGCGGUUACUUAAGUCGGAUGUGAAAGCCCUCGGCUUAACUGAGGAAGUGCACCCGAAACUGAGUAGCUAGAGUACGAAAGAGGGUCGCGGAAUUCCCGGUGUAGAGGUGAAAUUCGUAGAUAUCGGGAGGAACACCGGUGGCGAAGGCGGCGACCUGGGUCGAGACUGACGCUGAGGCGCGAAAGCUAGGGGAGCGAACAGG